rnacentral:rRNA from 1 species
CUUUGCUUUUAUAUCUCCAGGGAGCACCUGGCUUUGUACACUUUACAGCCAUAUCCCUUAGCAAGCUAAGCAGGAAUGGGAUAGGCUAAUACUAGGAUGGGAGACCACAAAGAAACAUGCGUGCUGCAGGAA